AUGCCAGCAUUAAGAUUUAAAAUGUGUCGUCUACUUCCAGGAAAUGUUCAGAACAGAGAACUUUCUCUAAUCCAAUGCUGUAUUCUACGAAGAUUGAGGAACAAGAGGAGAUCCAUUAAAAGAAAUCUUUCUCGGAGAGAAAAUCUAAACAGUAACAUCAAAUCACAAACUACAAGAAAGUUGUCUCUUUAUUAUGGGGAUUUACCCAUAAGGGAGAUGCACGGAGGAAGAGAACGAACUUCAUAUAUCCAUUUUUUACUCAAUCAAGAAACUAGAUCGGACGUGAUUCCGGUUCGUCUCCAUUUUAGUGACACUCUUCCUCAAGCAAGGCAGCCGAUAAUUCAUCGAAGGGUUUGUUUGAAUAAUGGACUGGUAACCAUUACUCAUUUGAAAGUUUCCCACGGUGAUCUAAUAUCUUUUAAAGAAAAUGAAGUGAGAACCCGUGGUUUUGAAAUAAGGAGAUCUUUCUAUAUCGACAUAUUAGUUGGAAAAAUCAUAGGCAAAUUCCUAUCGGCCAUAUCAGUUGGAAAAAGAAGAGGCAAAUUCCUACCGGCCAGAAUCUGGAGAAGAACAAAAAAAGAAUGGUUCCGCUUACUCACAACUCAGAGGGGAUGCCGCUUACUACUCAAAUCCAAGGAAUUGCAAAAGUUGCGUUUUUAUAUGCAAGAAGAAUACUUUGAAAGAACAAAGAAGUUAGGAUCCACAAAAGUAUGCUUAGGCAGUUCCUUCGCUGAGCACAACAGAAUGAAGAGGAAGUUGUUUCAUUUCAAAUACUUCUUCUUAUUGAAAAGAGGGAAGGAGAAAAACCGAAAUCUUCCUACUCGAACAAUAAGUCCUUUUGUAGAAAUGUCUUCUUUAUAUAGUAAUUCGACCUAUUGCUCUGGAUCCCCGUUUACUAGGAAGAUAAGAAUCAAAAGGAUCGAACUACCUACUCAUUAUUCGGAGGUGAAUAAUAGAACACUAAAAGUUGUGGUAUCUUAUGGACCUAACAUAGGUCACAUCCCUCACGACAUAAGACUUAAAGAUCCAAACCCUUCCUCUUCGGAGCGAAAACGGACGUGGCCAAAACAU
rnacentral:rRNA from 1 species